AAUUGCUUAUGUAUCUCGUUAGUUUUCGGAUUUAAAUGCAAGAAAAGGCAUCUUUGGAAAAGACAAAAAAGCAAAAUAUUCAUGUUUAAAUAUGUUAAGUUUAACUAGCAACACAGAGAAAUCUUGUUAAGUUAAUAAAAUGGAUUAUGAAUUACACGAUUAAAUUAUGUGAAAAAUUAGUCAAACUUUCGUCAUUUUGUCGCAGGAAUUGGUAUCUUUAAUAUUUAUAGCUUGAAACUGCGUCCGUUGAAAUAAAGAAUAUUCAUUGUAUCGGAAAAAUAUAUAACAAAAUAUUGUGUUUGGUUUAUGAUAAGAUUCAGCUCAACUGUGUUGCAGCUUUGUCCGUUCAAAUGCAGUCAUCACAGUUUUAGUCAUUUUCUGUUUAUAAUUGGUUUUAUGUAUUAAAGGUGUUCUGUUACAAAAGAUGUUAAGAAGAAAAAAAGACUCUCCUGAUCACGUUUUCUGGAGUUUAAUUGAUUGCUUUAUAUUUUAUAUACAUGAACUUUCAGAUUUUUUAUAUAACUUCCAAAAUAAGCAUACUCAUUAACCAAAUUUUGGGAAGUUUACUUUUCCCAGGCGUCUCUUUUUUGUCCGUAUGCAUUACUUUUGGCGCUUGUUUAUUCCGUUUUUAAAACCGAUAUUUUCAAUCCCGUGAAAUAAAUACAUUUCUUGUCAUACACAUUGACUACAUUGUUGAAAAAAAAUGGGAAAUUCUAAAAUUGAAUAAAAGUGAAAUUGAAUAAAAGUGUCUUUUGUCGACGCAGGCAUUUAAUAUGCGGUAAGAAAUUGGAUACACUACUUCAACGAGUGUGCACUACUUCCUAUGCUUAUGUCCUCAUGGCAGCGCUAAUGCUCGCACAUGAAAGCUGCCCCAUGCCGGCGCAUCGAUGCCACGAUAACCCGCGCAAACGCAUUUUGCUUGACCCAUGCUCGGAACCGGAGGCGGCUAUAACUACUUCCGGCACGUCAGACGGCUGGAUCAUGACGCCUCAGAUCUGCGUCACGUUCUCGCCUGCAAACUUAAUGACGAUUGCGUCAUGCCGCAGUUUAGUUCUUAUAUAGGCCAUUUCUCGUCAAUACAGAUAAGUGAUAGCGAUCAUUUUUUCUUAAAUAGAAUGUUAUGAUAAGGUCAGCAUAUGUUCGCGGUAGUAUAAUAUCGAUAUUGAACACUGUGAAUAAUGUAUUCUUUUGGUAUCAUUCUUCUCAUUUUGGUGUAUUUUUUUAAAUUAUAAUCAUUCAAACAAGCCUUUGAAAUUAACGAUUGAAUAUAAAUAACAGAACCAGGAACUGGCAAUUUGAAUUUAGCUAUUGUAAUGUUUUCCGUCUAUCCCAUUAAAUACUAUGUCAAAACAUCAAUAUGUUGACUGCGCAUGCGCUUUAGGAGUUCAUUAAAUACUAUCGGGGGGGGGGGGGGGCUUGUAUCGUAUGCCCAGUAUUUGCUAGGAAUAUUCAGCUCAAGUCGACAUGUCCUUAGAAGAACGAUGGUUCUUUAUGAUAGUGCUAUAAUUGCAGAAUAUCACGUCAUAUAUGUUAUUGAUAUUCCAACUUUAAGGAAGGCAUUGCGCUAGCAUAAUAAAUGAUAUGAGCAUCACCAAAUUAGUAUCAAGUAUUAUAUAAUGUUUUGAAUAUUUACCUGACUUCUUCGUUAGACGUGAAACAUACGAGUGAUGUUGUUUUUUCAGGCAAAUUGUGCUGGUGAAUUUCUGCCACACGGUUCUUCACUGGCUGGGAGAUUACAAGCACAUGUUCGAGUUCCUCCGAAAUAAUGUGCUGCGAUUUAAAGGCGGCACAACCUAUCGUGUAGAACAACAAAUAGCUCUACUAAGGGAACUGAAAGGCUUGACCAACGUGAUAGUUAACGACAACUAAGACAUUUUGUCCCUGAACGCGGCAAAUCACAAUGGCGGACACGAAAGUGGCACGUAUUCGGACAACGUUUUCGGAGUCUACGAAAUGUACGCAAACACUCUGAGAGAGUUUGACGCGUUUUUAUCGAACGUUUUUUCUAAUCUUCGAAUUCUUCGCAUUCAAUAUAAUCACGCGUGCAUUAACAUGAUAAAUGUAUGCAAUUAAUGUUUUUAUUUCUGAAACGCAGACUUUUUAUUGGUAAAAUAAUAGUUUUUAUUAUUAAAAUAUGUGUUCCUUUCAAUUUAGUAUUACCGGUAUAUUACAUUUUCAUUACCAGUAGUUUAAAAUGCGUUACAUUGUGUGUGGUUUCCUUAUGUUUUCUAACGUUUUGGAUACUAGCUUCAGUUCACCAAGUAAUAGAGUGUCUUAAUAUUUAUUUUUAAAACUGAAUGCAAAAAUACCUUAUAUGUGAUUUUUAAAACUGACUUUCACUGUUUUAAACAUGCAAGAGAGUGAAUUGUUUGAUAUUAACGUGUGUUGUAUUUGUUAUUUACAACUGAACCCACUCUGUUUCCAUCUUUUACGUGCCAUUUUAACGUUUUAUUUUUUACAUGUAUUUAUACAUAUACAUUACGUUUUUUGCAGAAUAUUUUACAGUUUCUGCCACAUAUGUUAUUUUAAGACUAUUUGUGUGUCAGUCAUCGCGAACGUCAUAUUUUACAUGGGCAAUAGUUCAACUCGAUGUCGUAUUCUAUUUUACAUGUUCACCUCUGGCAAAGAAGUUUGUAUCAAAAUAUGGUGGUAUGAUAUUUCAAAUAUUUUAUAUAUACGCUAUGUGUUCACUUUUUUAUUUCUUGCUCGUUGAGUAGAAUUCAUUUUGAAAUGUGUUCAUAUGAUAUUUUUGGACAAUUUUUUGCACCUUUGUAUAAUUUAAAUUCUCUUUUCUAUGGUU